rnacentral:rRNA from 1 species
UACGUAGGGUGCAAGCGUUGUCCGGAAUUAUUGGGCGUAAAGAGCUCGUAGGCGGUUUGUCGCGUCUGCUGUGAAAACUCAGGGCUUAACUCUGAGCUUGCAGUGGGUACGGGCAGACUAGAGUGCGGUAGGGGAGACUGGAAUUCCUGGUGUAGCGGUGAAAUGCGCAGAUAUCAGGAGGAACACCGGUGGCGAAGGCGGGAUCCUGGGCCAGUACUGACGCUGAGGAGCGAAAGCGUGGGGAGCAAACAGG